GAGAGAGAGGGAAAGAGAGGGAGAGGGAAAGAGAGGGAGAGGGAAAGAGAGAGAGAGGUAAAGAGAGGGAGAGGUAAAGAGAGGGAGAGGGAAAGAGAGAGAGAGGUAAAGAGAGGGAUAGGUAAAGAGAGGGAGAGGUAAAGAGAGGGAGAGGUAAAGAGAGGGAGAGGUAAAGAGAGAGAGAGGGAAAGAGAGGGAGAGGUAAAGAGAGGGAGAGGUAAAGAGAGGGAGAGGUAAAGAGAGGGAGAGGUAAAGAGAGGGAGAGGUAAAGAGAGGGAGAGGGAAAGAGAGAGAGAGGUAAAGAGAGGGAGAGGUAAAGAGAGGGAGAGGUAAAGAGAGGGAGAGGUAAAGAGAGGGAGAGGGAGAGGUAAAGAGAGGGAGAGGGAAAGAGAGAGAGAGGUAAAGAGA
ensembl:lncRNA